UAGGGAAUAUUGCGCAAUGGGCGAAAGCCUGACGCAGCGACGCCGCGUGGGUGAUGAAGCUCCUUGGAGUGUAAAACCCUGUCAGUGGGGAAGAACCGCACAGAGAGUCACUGCUCUGUGCCUGACGGUACCCGCAGAGGAAGCUCCGGCUAACUCCGUGCCAGCAGCCGCGGUAAUACGGGGGGAGCGAGCGUUGUUCGGAUUUACUGGGCGUAAAGGGCGUGUAGGCGGGUCUUCAAGUCGAAUGUGAAAACCGGUGGCUCAACUGCCGGCCUGCAUUCGAAACUGGAGACCUUGAGUACGGGAGAGGAAAGCGGAAUUCCUGGUGUAGCGGUGAAAUGCGUAGAUAUCAGGAGGAACACCGGUGGCGAAGGCGGCUUUCUGGCCCGAUACUGACGCUGAGGCGCGAAGGCUAGGGGAGCAAACA
rnacentral:rRNA from 1 species